AGAAAUAUAGGUGGCGCCACAACCGUUUAAGGUCCAACAACACUUCCGGUAGCAAGUAAACACGUCAAAUCUGUGCAACUGUCAAUGUGAUAUCGAUGUUUUCCAGGAUUCACAAGUGUUAUAUCUGUUGUUAAUUAAGCUUUCCUGUAGAUAAGAAUCUGGGGAAACGUUAGGUAUCAGUCAUACAAAGAUUCGAUCAUGUAUUUCGCUACAAAAACCUCGAUGACUUCAGACACAUUGUGUGGUGUGCCACAUGCAUUCGGUGAGACGUUCAUCUCUGCAACAUCAGAAGGACCAGUUUAAUAAAAGGUCUUUUGAGGCCUUGAUACCAAGAGCCUGACCUUUCCAAUUUAUGCUUGGAAUGAUUGGGGAAGAUUUAACAUAAAAGAAGGACACAGUGGGAUUCUAUAUUAAGGAGACUGGAAUUUCAAGAAAAGCAGAUACUAUCACUAGGUAGUCUCUAGUCUGGACCAAGAUUGAUGAGGAAAUCAACCAUUGUAUUAAACUUUUCUCAUUUUACAUCAGAUUAGCCUUGGCAGUAUAUUUUGAUAAAAAAAAUAUAUGUUAUGAAUGCUGUAAAAAUUCAUGACUGUCACAGUUUUCUAAAAAGAUAAAUAGGUUUCCUUUGGGAAAAAAACAUGGAUAUAAUUCUUAAUUUAUAUGAUUGAACAUAUAGGACUUGAAA